GUCACGUGCUGCAGCUCCCUGCGUCACAGCCCGGAAUCGGAGCUACUGUCUGUUGCUAGGCUGUUUUCCUGAGAGACCCGCCUGCCUCUAUCUCCCGGGUGCUGCGGGUGCAGGCGAGCGCCGCCACCCCCAGCCCAAGCUAGACUCAAACCAUCGCCGCCUCCAUGGGCGUUAGUGACCCUGUCUUUAAUCCCGGCGCUCGGGAGGCAGAGGCAGUGCCCGGACAACCUAGUCUUAGAGAGAGAAAUCCCAUCUUGGAAAAUGGAAGUUUAUGGCAAUCCCCCUGCAUCAGCCUCCGAGUACUGAGAUGUCAGGCUUCUGCCUUUCCGCUUACCAUGGAUGUACCGUUAUGGUUACUAGAGUAGCCAUGAUGAUCAAUGUAACCCGUUAAUCUGAUUGGAUCCCGAGUGUGGGGGGGUGCUCCUUCCCGGUCGAUUAUCUUGAUUAUCUCACGGAGGAAGGCUCUGGGCAGUUUAUUCCCUGGGCAGGGAUCCUGACCUAAAAAUGGAGAAAGUGAGUGGAUCAGUACCACUCAGGCAGUGCCAUUUCUAAGUUCUAAAUGUGAUGUUACCUAUGGCUUUGAGAUCUUAUUGCCUGGAUUUCCCCAGGGCCUGUGCCAUGAGCUGCAAGUUGAAAUAAACUCUGUGUCCUAUAAGGUACUUUUGUGUUUUGUUUUGUUUUUCGAGACAAG
rnacentral:lncRNA from 1 species